CACUGAGUUUUCCAUUAGUGUGUGCUUAUCUUUUCAGUGGCUCUCUAUAAAAUUGAGACCUUGCAAUUUUAGGAAAUUAAAACUUGACACUACAUUUUGUCACUUAGCACAUACAUACAUGUCAAUAUUGACUUUAAUGCUUGUAUGUAUUUGUAUGCUUUUUUUUUCCAGUGAUGCUGACUUAUUCCAGAAACUAUGCUGCUCACAAUAUAAAACACUUCAGAAGAUUUUUCCAUUAACUAAAAUGAUACAGGCUCACAAUGCUGCAGUCUCUUGAAGUGUCUCUUGAAGUUAAGAGCCUUCUAGGUUUGACUGGUUUUGCCCACAGUUUUGCCCUUACCUCCUAUUCAGCUUGUCUGCUUGGGAGAUGAGCACCAAGACCUGCGUCCCUUGCCAAGAUGAGCAGAAGAGUUGUCAGCGUGGUGCCAUCUGGCACCAUCAGAUACCAGGGAGGAUCCAGACAGAGGUUAGAGUGACCCUCCUAUUGGGCUGUCCUUCUGACCAGGCAGGGCAGGACAGGGACAAACAGGUCGUCUGAGGGUGUAUCCUUCUUAUUUGAGCACAAAAUCAACUUACGGUAGAAGCUGUUGUUAUAUAUAUACUUGCAGUGCAUCCCUCUUUCACACGAGGUCUCUCUGUCUUCUUCCAAAGCUCUGGUAAUCUGAAUUUGGUAAUAAAAGCUAUGAGGG
rnacentral:lncRNA from 1 species